rnacentral:rRNA from 1 species
UACGAAGGGGGCUAGCGUUGCUCGGAAUCACUGGGCGUAAAGGGUGCGUAGGCGGGUCCUUAAGUCAGGGGUGAAAUCCUGGAGCUCAACUCCAGAACUGCCUUUGAUACUGAAGAUCUUGAGUUCGGGAGAGGUGAGUGGAACUGCGAGUGUAGAGGUGAAAUUCGUAGAUAUUCGCAAGAACACCAGUGGCGAAGGCGGCUCACUGGCCCGAUACUGACGCUGGGGAGCGAAAGCGUGGGGAGCGAACAGG